rnacentral:rRNA from 1 species
ACGUACGCUGGCGGCACGCCUAACACAUGCAAGUCGAACGAAGUAGCAAUACUUAGUGGCAGACGGGUGAGUAACAUGUGGGUAUCUGCCCUUUGGCCUGGAAUAACACGAGGAAACUUGUGCUAAUACCGGAUAAGUCUUUACGGAGAAAGCUUUAUGCACCAUUGGAUGAGCCCGCACUUGAUUAGUUUGUUGGUGGGGUAAUGGCCUACCAAGACUGUGAUCAAUAGCUGAUUUGAGAGGAUGAUCAGCCACAUUGGGACUGAGACACGGCCCAAACUCCUACGGGAGGCAGCAGUGGGGAAUCUUGCACAAUGGAGGAAACUCUGAUGCAGCGAUGCCGCGUGAGUGAAGAAGGCCCUUGGGUUGUAAAGCUCUUUCGUCGGGGAAGAAAAUGACUGUACCCGAAUAAGAAGGUCCGGCUAACUUCGUGCCAGCAGCCGCGGUAAUACGAAGGGACCUAGCGUAGUUCGGAAUUACUGGGCUUAAAGAGUUCGUAGGUGGUUGAAAAAGUUAGUGGUGAAAUCCCAGAGCUUAACUCUGGAACUGCCAUUAAAACUUUUCAGCUAGAGUAUGAUAGAGGAAAGCAGAAUUUCUAGUGUAGAGGUGAAAUUCGUAGAUAUUAGAAAGAAUACCAAUUGCGAAGGCAGCUUUCUGGAUCAUUACUGACACUGAGGAACGAAAGCAUGGGUAGCGAAGAGGAUUAGAUACCCUCGUAGUCCAUGCCGUAAACGAUGUGUGUUAGACGUUGGAAAUUUAUUUUCAGUGUCGCAGCGAAAGCGAUAAACACACCGCCUGGGGAGUACGACCGCAAGGUUAAAACUCAAAUGAAUUGACGGGGACCCGCACAAGUAGUGGAGCAUGUGGUUUAAUUCGAAGAUACGCGCAGAACCUUACCAACACUUGACAUGUUCGUCGCAACUCUAAGAGAUUAGAGUUUUCGGUUCGGCCGGACGAAACACAGGUGCUGCAUGGCUGUCGUCAGCUCGUGUCGUGAGAUGUUGGGUUAAGUCCCGCAACGAGCGCAACCCUCACUUUUAGUUGCCAUCAUUAAGUUGGGCACUCUGAAAGAACUGCCAGUGAUAAGCUGGAGGAAGGUGGGGAUGACGUCAAGUCCUCAUGGCCCUUACGUGUUGGGCUACACACGUGCUACAAUGGUAUCUACAACAGGAAGCAAGACUGCGAGGUCAAGCAAAUCCUUAAAAGAUACCUCAGUUCGGAUUGCACUCUGCAACUCGAGUGCAUGAAGCUGGAAUUACUAGUAAUCGUGGAUCAGCGUGCCACGGUGAAUGCGUUCCCGGGUCUUGCACUCACCGC